rnacentral:lncRNA from 1 species
UCCCCGAGUAUAAAGCUAGGCUCGCCCCUCGGCCAACUCCAUCAAGCUUCGGGUUGGAAGAACGUCGUCUCUCGCGAGGAUACCGAAGACUGGGGUAAUGGAAAAUCGUCGUCAAGGUUCGAACUCGCGAAGUGCCAUCGCCUGGGGCUCGAGGAGUUGUGCAGUCGCGUCGCGGGGGCGUGUUCAAGCUGAUGGGGGAAUUGGAAGGCAGUACUAAACCUCUAGAUGACCUUAAUUUCUCGACGGUGUGCGCAGAUCACGGAGAACCCGCCUCGCCUCGCAAACCAGCCACACCACCAUCUCCAACCACCGGUAAGUCGCUUGGAACUUGCUCUAUUGGACCUCCGCCUCACAUAUCCGUAGUUUCAGACGCCGGCGUUCCGGGAUGGCCAUCACCGGUGUGGGCACCACCGUGGGCGUGUGCGCGCCGCCGUGAGGUUGGGGUCUGAGGUUGGGGAUGGUGUCAUAACCGUUGGAUCGAUCUCUGAUGCUCCAGAUUUGAUGGGGUCGGUGGACACCCAUUUGCUUGAUCUGGUCCGUUGAUGGAAUCGGGCGGAUGAAGUUCUUCCACGUCCGGCUGAAUCUUGGGCCAUUGAUCUCUGAUCCUAGCGUCCAGGGUGCAUACCGAUUCGUAAUAAACACUGAUCUAAUCCGCAUCGUCACCUUUUAAUCGGACGAUUCUGGGUGCAAGAUACCCCUUCGGUCUGUGCAUUUUGCAGAUAAGCCCUCGAGAUUUUAAUAAAACAACACGCCGUCCCCUGUCAGCUAGAAGUAUUCACAGUCGGGUCCCUAGAUCUUAUGUGUUAGCC